rnacentral:lncRNA from 1 species
GCUACUUGCUCCCAAGAUUCCCUGAAACCCAGUUAUUCCCAUUGCAUUUUGAUUUUCCAAUUGGUGUACUGUGGUUUCUAUAUUAAGGUCUGGCCUACAGAGAAGAGAGAUCAGGGAGCUCUUCAGUUGUACCCAGCCUCCCCACACAAAUCCACCUAACAAAGUCCUGAUAAACAGUAUGUUUUCUGAGUCUAUCAAUAUGGAGGUGGAGUUUCACCAUGUUGGCAAGGCUGGUCUUAAACUCCUGACCUGAACUGAUGGACCUGUCUGUGCUUCCGAAAGUGGUGGGAUUACAGGCAUGAGCCACCAUGCCCUGCUAUGAGGUCUUGUUCUUUUGGCCAGGCUGGAGUGCAGUGGUACAGUCGUGACUCACUGCAGCUUCAAACACCUGGGUUCCAGCAUUCAUCCCACUUCAGCCUCCCGUGUAGCCGGGACUACAGGUACAAGCCACCACACCCAGCUAUCCACAGCCAUAAUCUUUAUUUCCACAUAGGGUCUUCAGAUUUCUGUUUGCAUUAGUUAGAAAACUCAGGUUGCUUUUUUGACAUAGAUCACAUCUCCUCAUGGGAAAUACUAUCCAUCAGCUUUAGGGGCCUGUUGUAACUUUAGUCUCACCAUGAGUCUAGAAGAAACACAGCUGUCAGGGGUGG